AGCGCAGGUGGUUGUAUAAAUCUGAAGUAAAAGGCAGUGGCUCAACCAUUGUGUGCUUUGGAAACUGUACAACUUGAGUGCAGAAGGGGAGAGUGGAAUUCCAUGUGUAGCGGUGAAAUGCGUAGAUAUAUGGAGGAACACCGGUGGCGAAAGCGGCUCUCUGGUCUGUAACUGACACUGAGGCUGAAAGCGUGGGGAGCAAACA
rnacentral:rRNA from 1 species